rnacentral:rRNA from 1 species
UACGAAGGGGGGCUAGCGUUGCUCGGAAUCACUGGGCGUAAAGCGCACGUAGGCGGAUUGUUAAGUCAGGGGUGAAAUCCUGGAGCUCAACUCCAGAACUGCCUUUGAUACUGGCGAUCUUGAGUCCGGGAGAGGUGAGUGGAACUGCGAGUGUAGAGGUGAAAUUCGUAGAGUAUUCGCAAGAACACCAGUGGCGAAGGCGCUCACUGGCCCGGUACUGACGCUGAGGUGCGAAAGCGUGGGGAGCAACAGG